CAAUAGCGUAUAUUAAAGUUGUUGCAGUUAAAAAGCUCGUAGUUGGAUUUCUGGUGGGAGCGAUCGGUCUGGCGCUUAGCGCGAGUACUUGCAUCGUCUCCGGCCAUCCUUGGGGAGAGUCUGUCUGGCAUUAGGUUGUCGGGCAGAGGAUCCUCAUCGUUUACUGUGAAAAAAUUAGAGUGUUCAAAGCAGGCUUAUGCCGUUGAAUAUAUUAGCAUGGAAUAAUAAGAUAGGACUUUGGUACUAUUUUGUUGGUUUGCGCACCAAAGUAAUGAUUAAUAGGGACAGUUGGGGGUAUUCGUAUUCUGUUGUCAGAGGUGAAAUUCUUGGAUUUACGGAAGACGAACUACUGCGAAAGCAUUUACCAAGGAUGUUUUCAUUAA
rnacentral:rRNA from 1 species